rnacentral:rRNA from 1 species
GGCUCAGGAUGAACGCUAGCUACAGGCUUAACACAUGCAAGUCGAGGGGAAACGACAUCGAAAGCUUGCUUUUGGUGGGCGUCGACCGGCAAACGGGUGAGUAACGCGUAAGCAACCUGCCCUUCAGAUGGGGACAACAGCUGGAAACGGCUGCUAAUACCGAAUACGUCUUUUUGUCGCAUGGCAGAGGGAAGAAAGGGAGGCUCUUCGGAGCUUUCGCUGAAGGAGGGGCUUGCGUCUGAUUAGCUAGUUGGAGGGGUAACGGCCCACCAAGGCGACGAUCAGUAGCCGGUCUGAGAGGAUGAACGGCCACAUUGGGACUGAGACACGGCCCAGACUCCUACGGGAGGCAGCAGUGGGGAAUCUUCCGCAAUGGACGAAAGUCUGACGGAGCAACGCCGCGUGAACGAUGACGGCCUUCGGGUUGUAAAGUUCUGUUAUACGGGACGAAUGGUACGACGGUCAAUACCCGUCGUAAGUGACGGUACCGUAAGAGAAAGCCACGGCUAACUACGUG